rnacentral:tRNA from 1 species
GGUGGUAUAGCUCAGUGGUAGAGCACAUGCUUACCAUGCAGGAGGUUCUGGGUUCAAGUCCCAGUACCUCCA